GUGAAGUGACCGCCAUCUUGCAAAGAAUCAAUUUGUGGGAAGGAUCAGAUAAGGGCUUAGUAAAGAUGUCGGUAACUUUAGAUGAAGAAGGAACAAAAGUAAGAGAAAUCAAGUCGGAGAGAUACUGUUGGCAGACGAAGUGACGAUCGAGCUCAACGUGCUUCGUUCGCUCAUGGAAUACAUGAUUUCGAGCAAUAUGCAAAGCCGCCUAACUAUCAGAGUGAAGCGGAAUCGGAAGAACCGGUGGAGCAGAGAGAUCGUGGAGGAGACGAUUUAACCAAGUCAACUCAGCAAGGAGUCGUCGCAUAGAGCGAUACUCUUCUUCAGCAGAAGAAAACGAAAUAGAGACCUGCUUUUUGAACUUCUAAGAGAUUGGAAAGCCACCAAGGCUAAUGAAAUAGCCAUUAAUAGAUCGACGAGAAUUAAUACAGAAGGCCCAGUCAGCGUCACAAAAAUUCAGGAGCGAAAAUGAAGAAUUUGCUGACAUUAACAAUCCUAGACCCGGAUCUGUGCGAAGACAGCAGAUCACUCGAAGAGCAACAAAAAAAUGGGGUAGACGAGGACUUUACAUGAAUUGAGAUAGCUGUUUUACGGCGAAAGACAAAUCCGGCCGAGUAUGGGUCAAAUAAUUAAGCUUUCCAAUAAGCCGUCGAUAACAAGAAGGAUCUGCAAGUAAUUCACCAGAAUCAAAGGAAAGUUUACAAGAAGGGUCCAGGGGAGAAGAUACUGAUGUCAAAUGAGCACAAUUGAACUCAGAGAUAAGAUCAAGAGUGAACUUUCGUGAGAAACAAUGAUCCCUUGCGGUUCACGGAGGACUUUCAGGCCGAGAAGUAAUGAAAGAAGAAGAAUCACCAUGGAACUGUGGACUGACAUAAAUCUCGUGCUGCUUCUCAUCGAGUAGGCAUGAUUGAGAUUGGGUAAAGGGGACAUCAUCAGGAUGUUGCUUCGAACAACGGCAUAAGAAUCAUUCAAGCCCAUGAGAAAUUGAUGGGCCUCUCAUCUUGAAGAGAUUUCACAAGUUUAACCCUCCCACAGAUGCAAUUGUAAGAACAAGUAACAGAAGAAUAAAGAGAAUCAAGCUCAUCCCAUAGCAACUUCAGCUUAGUGAAAUAUCGAGCAACAUCACUAGAGCCCUGAGUUAAGUCACUGAUAUCUUUUUGCAGGUGAUAGAGUUUGGCACUAUUGGUUUGGCCAAACCUAUCUUCAAGUUCAGUCCAAAGAUCCUGGGCAGAUUUAGAGUAAAUAACACUGGAAGCAAUUUCCUUAGAGAGGGAAUUCAGAAGCCAGGAGGUAACCAUAUCAUUAGAUCUAGCCCAUAGGUUGAAGGAAGGAGAAUCAGGAGGAGAAGACUUGUAACUGCCAUCAAUGAAGCCCAACUUAUUUUAAGCUUAGAGUGAAAUGAGAAGAUACCUCCUCCAACCACCAUAACCACGGCCAUCAAAGAUGGAGGUGACAAGAGUCAUACCAAGAGAGUCAGAAGGGUGGAGAAAGUAAGGAUGACUAGUAUCCAAAGAGACUGAACCGCCACGGCCAGAAGAAGCAUCACUGGUAGUAAUAGAGAGAGUAGAAGAGUCUCUAGUAGUAACCAUUUGGAAUGAUCGGAGAAAGAAAACAAAAUAAAGAGAAAAGAUAACUGAAAAAAUAGGAUCUAGACGGCGACUGAUACCAUGUAGAAAAUAAAAACUAGAGAUUGAAUUUGAGAGAAUUUUUCUGAUGAUCUUCUCAUUGAGUGUAUGUAUUUAUACAUGCAUCUGACUUAAAAAUAAAUAAAUAGCUAUACACUUGUCUA